ensembl:lncRNA
CCAAACUUGGUUGGGGGGAAGACGGGAGGGGAUGUGCUUUGAGCAAUCAGAGUCUUUGUUUCCCCAGAGACCGAGCGAGAGGAGACCUCGCUGGCCUCGGCUGGAGAGGGACGCUGUUCCAGGCACAUUACUGCGUGUAUGAUCAGCAGCCGUGAACGUGUCCAGGUAAAUGUAAUUUUGUAAAAAUGAAGGGACCUUGGAAGUCAUUUCACUGGACAGUCACUUGACUUCUAAGGUCCGGGAGUCAAGGGCCAGAGCCAUCAGGCAAUUGUACCCCACCCAGGCUUCACAGGCAUUUUAAAUUUAAGUUGGUGGCUUUCUCUAAUGCUCUAGAGCGUUCUAAAGCUAGCGGAAUGCCUGACUGACAGGUCUGCGGUGGUGUUGUAGUCCUGUUCUCCAGCUGGCCUUUCAGCACAAGGGAGGAAUGGGGCCGCCACAUCACUGCCUUCUCCACAGACCCCCGUCAGUCACUGCCGAGCGCAUUCCUUCUGAUGGAUGAAUUCGUGGGAACAGCCCAGAUUUAGGGGGCCGGCCGGGGGCUGAGUGGUUGGGUUUGCGCCCUCCACUUAGGCGGCCCGGGGUUUCACCGGUUCGGAUCCUGGGCGCGGACAUGACACCGCUCAUCAGGCCACACUGAGGCAGCGUCCCACAUGCCACAACUAGAAGGACCCACAACUAAAAAUAUGCAACUAUGUACUGGGGGGCUUUGGGAGAAAAAGGAAAAAUAAAAUCUUUAAAAAAAACAACAAAAAACCCCACCUUUCUGAACCCAAUCUCACAAUUUCAGCCUGUUUCUCACAGACCUCACAACUCAGCUGCACGGAGUCAAGGUGGGACCCACUUAAAGGGGAAAACAAUUUCCGAGCUGCUUUUUAGUGCUCAGGUAGCAUCGAGGUGAGGAAAAGGGGCUAAAGCUGCUGGACCUCGGCGAGCAGGAGCAGAGACGAGCCUGUCCUCCCCAGGAACGUUCCACUAAGAAACGGACAGCAAGGUCCCUGGUGGACUGCAGUUCAACUGAACUAGCCAGGCCGUACGGGAGGUCCUGCAGUCUAAAGGAUAGAGUGGGCUUUGUAGGUUCAAGGGCAUCCUGUGCAGAAGGUGCCGGGUCUCUGUGCUCUGGAAACAUCUCUGCUAGUCUAGGUAAUUAAACCGGAACUGGUCUGCGAAGAGCCUGAAAGCCAGAAGUUAGCAGUUCCAGUCCUGCAAAGCAGGCCUUCCGGGUGGCAUUCUUGCCAAUAGCUGUGAUCAGAUUUGGUGGCAACAUGGCUAAACUGGUGGUAGUUUCCGAGUGGCCAGGUCCCGAGACCUCCAAAAUUCCUGCACUAUUUUAAUGACAAAUGGAAAAAACACCCAGGAUUUUUGCUUUCAAGGAGGCUCUGCAUCUACAGUGCGGAGUUCCCAUAUGUAACGUCCCAUCAGAAACUUCUUCAGAGUAAUGCUUACUACCUUUGCCUUAUCUGUUUAGACUUGUUUCUACCACUUUCAAGAGGUAUUGUCACCUCUCCAAAAACAGAAAGGGGUCUGCUGCCACCAGAUGGUAAUAGGACCUCACUUAUGACCACGUAGUCUGAAAAGUAAGGCUCCUAAAGAAAACGUGCUCGUCCCAAAUCCUUUUUUUUUUUUUUGGUAAGGAAGAUUGGCCCUGAGCAAACAUCUGUUGCCAACCUUCCUGUUUUUGCUUGAGGAAGAUUGGCCCUGAGCUAACAUCUGUGCCAAUCUUCCUCUGUUUUGUAUGUGGGAUGCCAUCAUAGCAUGGCUUGAUGAGCAGUGUGUAGGUCUGCACCUGGGAUCUGAACCUGAGAACCCUGGGCCACUGAAGCGGAGCAUGCAAACCCAACCAGUACACCACGGGACUGGCCCCUCAAAUCCAUUUGAAUCUCAAAAAGUUACUUUUAUCAGUGACUAUGCAUUUAGAUUAUAAAGAAAACAAAGUAUAAAGUACAUUCAUUACUUUUUCCCUAUAUCCUUGACUGUUGUUGACAACUGCUGAAUAUGAAGUUGACCUUGUCCUCUGACCCAUUAAAACGCUAUUUUUCAGGCUGGCCCCAUGGUACAGUGGUCAAGUUCACACACUCUGCUUUGAUGGCCCGGGAUUCACUGGUUUGGAUCCUGGGUGCAGAUGUGGCACUGCUUGUCAAGCCAUGCUGUGGCAGCAUCCCACAUAUAAAACAGAGGAAGAUAGGCACAGAUGUUAGCUCAGGGCCAGUCUUCCUCAGCAAAAAGAGGAGGAUUGGUGGUAGAUGUUAGCUCAGCGCUAAUAUUCCUCAAAAUAAAUGAACAAAUAAAAUAAAAUGCUAUUUUUCGACUUUUCCCUGAUUCCACUCUCACGGUUCACUCCUAGUGAUCAAGAUGCUUCGGGUUGUUUCUCCUGCAGCAUGAGAUUUAUCAUGUUCACACAGUCAGAAUUAAUCACCGCAGUUUGUCAUUUUUAAGUUUCUAGCCAGAGUCACUGCUCAGCCUCCUUCCAAAAGCAGAACGAGAAAUGACAGGCACAUUGGCUUCUAGAUGCUGCAGCAUGGAAUUCCUCGUGGGGCCUUCUUCCUAAUCCGAGCAGGAAAACUUGCUCUCUUUUUUUCCUUUUUUGGGGAGGAAGAUUGGCCCUAAGCUAACAUGUGUUACUAAUCUUCCUCUUCUUGCUUGAGGAAGAUUCGCCCUGAGCUAACAUCUGUGGCAAUCUUCCUCUAUUUUGUAUGUGGGAUGCCGCCACAGCAUGGCUUGAUGAGCGGUGCAUAGUUCUGCGCCCAGGAUCUGAACCUGCAAACCCCAGGCUGCUGAAGCAGAGCACACAAACUUAACCACUGGGCCACGGGGCUGGCCCCUGCCUCUCUUUUC